CGACUAAGCGUACACGGUGGAUGCCCUGGCAGUCAGAGGCGAUGAAGGACGUGCUAAUCUGCGAAAAGCGCCGGCGAGGUGAUAUGAACCUUUGACCCGGCGAUGUCCGAAUGGGGAAACCCAGUGCAAUCCGUUGCACUAUCGUUAACUGAAUACAUAGGUUAACGAGGCGAACCGGGGGAACUGAAACAUCUAAGUACCCCGAGGAAAAGAAAUCAACCGAGAUUCCCCCAGUAGCGGCGAGCGAACGGGGAGCAGCCCGGAGUCUGAAUCAGCUUGUGUGUUAGUGGAACGGUCUGGAAAGUCCGACGGUACAGGGUGAUAGUCCCGUACACGAAAGCACACAUGCUGUGAACUCGAAGAGUAGGGCGGGACACGUGGUAUCCUGUCUGAAUAUGGGGGGACCAUCCUCCAAGGCUAAAUACUCCUGACUGACCGAUAGUGAACCAGUACCGUGAGGGAAAGGCGAAAAGAACCCCGGCGAGGGGAGUGAAAAAGAACCUGAAACCGUGUACGUACAAGCAGUGGGAGCCUCUUUAUGGGGUGACUGCGUACCUUUUGUAUAAUGGGUCAGCGACUUAUAUUCUGUAGCAAGGUUAACCGUAUAGGGGAGCCGAAGGGAAACCGAGUCUUAACUGGGCGUUAAGUUGCAGGGUAUAGACCCGAAACCCGGUGAUCUAGCCAUGGGCAGGUUGAAGGUUGGGUAACACUAACUGGAGGACCGAACCGACUAAUGUUGAAAAAUUAGCGGAUGACCUGUGGCUGGGGGUGAAAGGCCAAUCAAACCGGGAGAUAGCUGGUUCUCCCCGAAAGCUAUUUAGGUAGCGCCUCGUGAACUCAUCUUCGGGGGUAGAGCACUGUUUCGGCUAGGGGGCCAUCCCGGCUUACCAACCCGAUGCAAACUACGAAUACCGAAGAAUGUUAUCACGGGAGACACACGGCGGGUGCUAACGUCCGUCGUGAAGAGGGAAACAACCCAGACCGCCAGCUAAGGUCCCAAAGUCAUGGUUAAGUGGGAAACGAUGUGGGAAGGCACAGACAGCCAGGAUGUUGGCUUAGAAGCAGCCAUCAUUUAAAGAAAGCGUAAUAGCUCACUGGUCGAGUCGGCCUGCGCGGAAGAUGUAACGGGGCUAAACCAUGCACCGAAGCUGCGGCAGCGACACUAUGUGUUGUUGGGUAGGGGAGCGUUCUGUAAGCCGUUGAAGGUGUCCUGUGAGGGGUGCUGGAGGUAUCAGAAGUGCGAAUGCUGACAUAAGUAACGAUAAAGCGGGUGAAAAGCCCGCUCGCCGGAAGACCAAGGGUUCCUGUCCAACGUUAAUCGGGGCAGGGUGAGUCGACCCCUAAGGCGAGGCCGAAAGGCGUAGUCGAUGGGAAACAGGUUAAUAUUCCUGUACUUGGUGUUACUGCGAAGGGGGGACGGAGAAGGCUAUGUCAGCCGGGCGACGGUUGUCCCGGUUUAAGCAUGUAGGCGGAGGUUCCAGGUAAAUCCGGUACCUUGUUAACGCUGAGGUGUGAUGACGAGGCACUACGGUGCUGAAGUGAUAAAUGCCCUGCUUCCAGGAAAAGCCUCUAAGCAUCAGGUAACACGAAAUCGUACCCCAAACCGACACAGGUGGUCAGGUAGAGAAUACCAAGGCGCUUGAGAGAACUCGGGUGAAGGAACUAGGCAAAAUGGUGCCGUAACUUCGGGAGAAGGCACGCUGAUGUGUAGGUGAAGUCCCUGCGGACGGAGCUGAAAUCAGUCGAAGAUACCAGCUGGCUGCAACUGUUUAUUAAAAACACAGCACUGUGCAAACACGAAAGUGGACGUAUACGGUGUGACGCCUGCCCGGUGCCGGAAGGUUAAUUGAUGGGGUUAGCGGCAACGCGAAGCUCUUGAUCGAAGCCCCGGUAAACGGCGGCCGUAACUAUAACGGUCCUAAGGUAGCGAAAUUCCUUGUCGGGUAAGUUCCGACCUGCACGAAUGGCGUAAUGAUGGCCAGGCUGUCUCCACCCGAGACUCAGUGAAAUUGAACUCGCUGUGAAGAUGCAGUGUACCCGCGGCAAGACGGAAAGACCCCGUGAACCUUUACUAUAGCUUGACACUGAACACUGGUCCUUGAUGUGUAGGAUAGGUGGGAGGCUUUGAAGCGUGGACGCCAGUCUGCGUGGAGCCAACCUUGAAAUACCACCCUUUAAUGGCUGGUGUUCUAACGUAGACCCGUAAUCCGGGUUGCGGACAGUGUCUGGUGGGUAGUUUGACUGGGGCGGUCUCCUCCCAAAGAGUAACGGAGGAGCACGAAGGUUGGCUAAUCCUGGUCGGACAUCAGGAGGUUAGUGCAAUGGCAUAAGCCAGCUUGACUGCGAGCGUGACGGCGCGAGCAGGUGCGAAAGCAGGUCAUAGUGAUCCGGUGGUUCUGAAUGGAAGGGCCAUCGCUCAACGGAUAAAAGGUACUCCGGGGAUAACAGGCUGAUACCGCCCAAGAGUUCAUAUCGACGGCGGUGUUUGGCACCUCGAUGUCGGCUCAUCACAUCCUGGGGCUGAAGUAGGUCCCAAGGGUAUGGCUGUUCGCCAUUUAAAGUGGUACGCGAGCUGGGUUUAGAACGUCGUGAGACAGUUCGGUCCCUAUCUGCCGUGGGCGCUGGAGAAUUGAGGGGGGCUGCUCCUAGUACGAGAGGACCGGAGUGGACGCAUCACUGGUGUUCGGGUUGUCAUGCCAAUGGCACUGCCCGGUAGCUAAAUGCGGAAGAGAUAAGUGCUGAAAGCAUCUAAGCACGAAACUUGCCCCGAGAUGAGUUCUCCCUGAGACCUUGAGUCUCCUGAAGGAACGUUGAAGACGACGACGUUGAUAGGUCGGGUGUGUAAGCGCAGCGAUGCGUUGAGCUAACCGAUACUAAUGAACCGUGAGGCUUAACCUU
rnacentral:rRNA from 1 species